rnacentral:rRNA from 1 species
GACGAACGCUGGCGGCGUGCUUAACACAUGCAAGUCGAACGGAAAGGCCCUGCUUUUGUGGGGUGCUCGAGUGGCGAACGGGUGAGUAACACGUGAGUAACCUGCCCUUGACUUUGGGAUAACUUCAGGAAACUGGGGCUAAUACCGGAUAGGAGCUCCUGCUGCAUGGUGGGGGUUGGAAAGUUUCGGCGGUUGGGGAUGGACUCGCGGCUUAUCAGCUUGUUGGUGGGGUAGUGGCUUACCAAGGCUUUGACGGGUAGCCGGCCUGAGAGGGUGACCGGCCACAUUGGGACUGAGAUACGGCCCAGACUCCUACGGGAGGCAGCAGUGGGGAAUAUUGCACAAUGGGCGGAAGCCUGAUGCAGCAACGCCGCGUGCGGGAUGACGGCCUUCGGGUUGUAAACCGCUUUCGCCUGUGACAAAGCGUGAGUGACGGUAAUGGGUAAAGAAGCACCGGCUAACUACGUGCCAGCAGCCGCGGUGAUACCUAAGGUGCGAGCGUUGUCCGGAUAUAAUGGGCGUAAGGGCUCGUAGGUGGUUGAUCGCGUCGGAAGUGUAAUCUUGGGGCUUAACCCUGAGCGUGCUUUCGAUACGGGUUGACUUGAGGAAGGUAGGGGAGAAUGGAAUUCCUGGUGGAGCGGUGGAAUGCGCAGAUAUCAGGAGGAACACCAGUGGCGAAGGCGGUUCUCUAGGCCUUUCCUGACGCUGAGGAGCGAAAGCGUGGGGAGCGAACAGGCUUAGAUACCCUGGUAGUCCACGCUGUAAACGGUGGGUACUAGGUGUGGGGUCCAUUCCACGGGUUCCGUGCCGUAGCUAACGCUUUAAGUACCCCGCCUGGGGAGUACGGCCGCAAGGCUAAAACUCAAAGGAAUUGACGGGGCCCCGCACAAGCGGCGGAGCAUGCGGAUUAAUUCGAUGCAACGCGUAGAACCUUACCUGGGUUUGACAUGGAUCGGGAGUGCUCAGAGAUGGGUGUGCCUCUUUUGGGGUCGGUUCACAGGUGGUGCAUGGCUGUCGUCAGCUCGUGUCGUGAGAUGUUGGGUUAAGUCCCGCAACGAGCGCAACCCUUGUUCACUGUUGCCAGCACGUUAUGGUGGGGACUCAGUGGAGACCGCCGGGGUCAACUCGGAGGAAGGUGGGGAUGACGUCAAGUCAUCAUGCCCCUUAUGUCCAGGGCUUCACGCAUGCUACAAUGGCUGGUACAGAGAGUGGCGAGCCUGUAAGGGUGAGCGAAUCUCGGAAAGCCGGUCUCAGUUCGGAUUGGGGUCUGCAACUCGACCUCAUGAAGUCGGAGUCGCUAGUAAUCGCAGAUCAGCAACGCUGCGGUGAAUACGUUCCCGGG